GACAGAGGCCUCGAGCGUUAGGCGGAAUCACUGGGCUUAAAGCGUGUGUAGGCGGGCCCGUAAGUGUCUUGUGAAAUCCCACGGCUCAACCGUGGAACUGCUGGGCAUACUGCGGGUCUUGGGCCAACUAGGGGCAGCCGGAACAAGCGGUGGAGCGGUGAAAUGCGUAGAUAUCGCUUGGAACGCCGAAGGUGAAAACAGGCUGCUGGGGUUGCGCCGACGCUGAGGUACGAAAGCGUGGGGAGCGAACAGG
rnacentral:rRNA from 1 species